AUGUAUGCUGUCACAGCCCUGGGCCACCUCACCUGGCGGUGGCACCCCUGCCUCCAUCCCAGCCCCCAGGCGAGGCACACGUGUGCACAAACGCGCAUACCCAGCCUCGAGGAUGGCCUUCCAGGUGCACUCCCACCACCUCAGUGUGAGCUGCAGUUGGCCCCACCCACUUCCAGCCCAACUGUCCCCUUUUUGGGACCAGGAGGACCCACAGGCUCAGGCCCUUGGGGGUCCGCAGCCCUCAAGCCAGCAGCAGCCAGAGCCCAGGCAGAGGAGGCCGAGCUUGGGCGUAGGCAGCGGCCUCCUGCCAGGCCAUGCGUGGUCCCUGUGACAUCCAGCCACGGGUUCUGGAGGACACCAGGACUGGCCUGGUCCAGCGCCAGCCCACAGAGUGUCCUGCCCUGCACGGUCCUCCUCAGCGAGUCCCUGAGGGGGAGCAGCUCCAUGGCCAGACCCAGAGUACCCAGGGAGAGAGGAGGCGCACCGCGUUCCCGGUCCCAGACCCGGCUCUGGGCUGACUUUUGCCUCCAGUGACGCCCGACCCUCCCUGCACGGCCUUCCAGCUCCUGGCCCGCUCCAGCGCUCACGUCGGGGCUUUAGUCUGGACGCAGGGGCAACUCUGCUGUGCAGUCUCUUUAUUCCAAGCCCAGAGAGCUUGCAGGAGCAGCCAGCCCAACCCAGCUCCCAGGCGGCCCAGGACACUGCAGCACCUUCAACACCGUGGUCACUGGAAAUGGGAGGGGCCCUGGGUACCAGCUCCCCUGUCCGGCGUCCACCCCACCCCACCUCCUUCACGGCAGCCACCACCCAUGGGCUUGGCUGAGGGUCCCCCAGGCCCAGCCUCCCCCCAGGGAGCCAAGGUGGUGCAGAAGGAGGGUUCACCUGGAGGAUCCUGUGUGCACAGGUGACUGGAAGGGAAGGGGAGGUGGCUCUGAGGACAGCGCCAUGGCAGCCCCAGGGCCUGGCCUGCCCACAAGGCCUCCUGAUGUGCCUCAGCCCUGCAGGCCUGACUUGGGGUGGGGUGGCUGAUGCCAGGAAGUGGCCCCACCAGCCCCAUCACAGCCCUGGGCAUCAGAACCUCGGGGCACUCACAGUCCCUCUGUAGCUGGGCCUGCUGCUGGGACCAGAAGCCCAGGCCACUGCUCCACUUGCUGAAGACCCGCAUGGCCUCCUCUCUGGCCAUCUCUGUCCAACCUGGGGCAGGACAGGCGCUGAGAGCCCAAGCAGGUGGAGAGGGCCCUGCCUGGGGACAGUGUCCCAGAACCUUCUGAGGAUGCCCCAGCACAGCAAGCCUCGGGGGACAGAGAACAGCCCUCGUCCAGCACGUCCAGCACUGGGGCCGUGGACAGUGCCCUCCAGCGCCCACUCACUGUACAACUCCACGGUGUUGAAGGCCUCCUCCCCGAACUCCAGCUGGGUGAAGAUGAUGGCGUAGUCUCUGAAGUUGGUGCCCAGCACCCGGUACUCCAGCAGGCCCAGAGCUGGAAAGCAGAUGCCCCGGAGCUUGGCCUGCAGUGACAGGCUCAGCUGGGCCUCUCCUACCCCACCCUCAGCACCGGGGAUGGGCUGGGGACCUCAGCUGGGCCCCCACGACAUCUGGGUCAUAGGCCCAAGGACCUCUCCCACCCUCAGGAGGGACACCACGCCCGAUGAAGUCAGACCCUGUAGCUCAGGACUCAGAACAGCGGGCUCUGGCCCUGCCGACCAGGACCAGAGACGCCACGGGGCUGGACUCCUCCAGGGUCCCCGCCAGCCCCAUCGGACGGCACUGGCGCCCUUGUACUCACAGGGGUUCUGGAACAUCCAUCCCGAGUCCUGCCUCUGCAGCUCCACAAUGCUCUGGCUGCAGCCCUCCAGCCUAGAAAUGCAGAGGGCCUGCCUAGCUCAGCGCCAGCCACCAGAGCACAUGAGUGCUUAGGGAUCCACUCCUGGCCAGUGGCCAGUGCCCAGGUGCCCGGAAUCCCCACUCUGGGGACACAGCUGGGAAGCAACAGCGGCUUCCCUCAGCUCCCAGGGACUCAGAACACCAGACCCGUGUGAGCCCAGCGGCCACCCCGGGAUUACCAGGGAAGUUAGGCCUCAGGCAUCCCAGCUUUCAGCCCCGGAAGGGCCUUGUCAAGAAGACGGAGGGCACAUCUUAAAGCAAGUAAGUAAAACAGACAAAAGGAACAGAACAGAGAGGCCAGACAGAAAGUCAAGUUAAUAGAAAAGAUACAACUCAACAAACCAGGCUAGGCCAUCACUCGGUCGUGUGUUCUAGUCACGCUUCUCCCCAGAGUAAAACCCCAGCUACGUCAAAGACACUGUACCACAUGCUCAUAAAGACUCUGAGUUUUGAGCUGUGCCAAAGAACAUCCUACUCAAAGGUAAACAAACAAAAUCCAAGCCAAAUCAACCACCAGAUGCCCCUCACCCGCCCCGUGAGUCCCAACCCCGGCAU
rnacentral:lncRNA from 1 species